UACGGAGGGAGCUAGCGUUGUUCGGAAUUACUGGGCGUAAAGCGCGCGUAGGCGGCUUUGUAAGUUAGAGGUGAAAGCCCGGGGCUCAACCCCGGAACUGCCUUUAAGACUGCAUCGCUUGAAUCCGGGAGAGGUGAGUGGAAUUCCGAGUGUAGAGGUGAAAUUCGUAGAUAUUCGGAAGAACACCAGUGGCGAAAGCGGCUCACUGGACCAUUACUGACGCUGAGGCACGAAAGCUAGGGGAGCAAACAGG
rnacentral:rRNA from 1 species